rnacentral:rRNA from 1 species
GUCUAUGGCCAUGCCACCCUGAACAAGCUGGAUCCCGUGUAAUCUCAGAAGCUAAGCAGGGUCGGGCCUGGUAAGUACUUGAAUGGGAGACCACCUAGGAAGACCAGGUGCUGUAGGUA